ACCUGAAUUACCAAAAGCUUU
rnacentral:miRNA from 1 species